GCCGGCCCUCCCCCACGACCAGACUCCACCAGAUCCCCAAUCCCCUCCCGAUCGACCAGCUAGAUCGACCCCGCCGCCGCCAAAACCUAGCUCGCCGGCCGGCGCGAGGCCGCCUUCCGCGCUCAGGCCACCUCCAGCGUAGCUCCCGCCCCUCGCCCCCACUUCUGCUCCUCCACCCCUCACUACCGCAGCUCCUCCACCCCUCACCACCGCAAGCCGCCACCGCCCCCAACCAUCCACCGCCGCCGCCGCUCCCAACCAACAAACCACCGCUGCCGCAGCUCCUCUACCCCUCACCACCGCAAGCCGCUGCGCCCCCAACCAUCCACCGCGGCCGCCGCUCGCAACCAUCCACCGCCACCGCCCCCAACCGACCAACCACCGCCGCCGCUGCCACCAACCAUCAAUCGCCCUCCACUGGACCACAAGCCGCUGCCAACCACUGUCGUCGUCGCCGCACUCCAGAGCUGAAACCCCGACUCACGCGUUUCCUCCCCGAGCAGGCUUCAUCACCGAGCACCAAGUCACGGGUCCGCCUCCUCCACAUGCCCCUGAAGCAACAGACUGCCGUUGGCCUCCUCUCCAGCGAGCAGGCACCUACUCCACAAGCCCCUGAAGCAGCAGACCUCACGUUGGCCCUCCUCUCCAGCGAGCAGCUCUGCCUGCUGAACAUCGACAUCGCUGCCUCUUGUACUUCAUUUGACUGGUGAGGUUUCGUAGCAAUUCAUGUGCCUUCUUUUGUUCUGAAUGUGCAGGUAUACGCAAUGUGUAGAAGUGUAAUAAUAUUGAUAAGUAGCAGCACUAAACUAUUCCGUCAGUUAGAACAAAGCACCAAUUUUUAAUUGUUUUGAUCUAAUAACAGCAAAAAAACCAUGAGCCAAACACGUUUGAAGGUUAUUUGCUUGUCUAAAAAUGAACACUGCUACUGUUAGUAGCCCUUCAGACCAAAGAACAUGAACCAUUGCUGAUUAACAAGUGCAUACCUUAAUUAUAUUUUUUGACACCUAACUAAGUUGUUUAGUUGAGCUUUGGAGUUCAUUUUAAUUUGAGAUGAAAGAAAGCUAGUUAUAUAAGUCUUUGUUUGUUUAGUUAAUGCCCCAAGUUAGUACCAUCUUUGUUUGUGUUUUGCGAAAUACAAGAUGUGGACAAAACAUGUGCUAUGCUUCUAUGAUAUAGAUGAUGGCAUUCUUACUGCUAUUUUGGUAUUUGUAUUUUCUGAAAUUACAUGUUUCAAUUAAUUAUAUUCUGCUGUGUGAUGGCAUUUCUUCUUUGUAUUGUAUUUCUUGUUACCUGUUCUAGAUAUUGAUGAUAUGCAUUUUGUUACUAGAUUUUUUCCUUAAUAGACGUAUAAUUUCUUUUGCAUGUUAGGUAAUUUUAGUGAAACUGGUCAAGAAUGGACAAGAGUUGGAUAGAGAAUGUGUGUUGUCGGAUGAAAAACUGUACAAAUUGCAAAUAGAACCCCACAACCAUCCUGUACAGCUGUACCUCGUACAAAAUAAUCCUGAUGGAGGCUGAGCCAUCCCGUUCAGCUAAUAUUUUUUAGUAGAGACUGCAUAAUCCUGUUAAAACAUGCAUGUGUCCUAUUCAAACGUGAUGUCAAAAGAAAAGAAAAAAGUCUGUUCAAACGUGCCUGCAUAUUUGAACGCACACGAUUUGUCUUUUGAUGAUUAUUUUUGCUGCCUCUGACUCAAACAUGCCUACAUAUUUGGACGGCCAAGAUUUUAAUAGAACUGCAACUGUUCUUUUUGCAGUAUCCUGUAUAUAUUAAUCCCUGUGCAUACUUCUCUUUUUUGGGCAGAAGUACUGUUAGACAGGCUUCUAAUUCUGCUAGCAUAGCAUUGAGGGGCUAUGUGCAAAAUAUCAAUGCUGCCAGCGGGCGUUUUAUUGUACUGUACUCAGUGGCGGAGCUACGAGCCAAUGGUUGGGCAGGCCAGCUAGAGCAGAGCACAUUAGUUAUUUGCACUCAUGACAUAUUUCUCUCUGAAUCCCAUUGGUCUGAAGCAAAACUGGGCUACAGAAAUCAGAUUCUUUUGGUAAUUUGCUACUGAAAUAUUGAUUCCUUGAUGCUUUGUUCGCUACUACUUGGCUGACCAUGAGUUAUAUUUGUGUUCCUGUAUACUACACGAGGCAUAGGCGCAUAGUUUUGUUUGUCAAAAUUGCCACUUUUUAGUAUGGUUUAUUCUUUUGUACAUGUGUCAUAUUAUACCUGGAGAUGCAAAGAAUGACUAAUCUCCAGGUCUUUCUACAUGUUCUUUCAGUUAAACUUUAGCAUGUCAACUUCAAUGUUAAUUUAAAUUCUGAAAUGAGAGCUCCCUUUUGAGUAUUCUAUCUGUUUGCAGAUUUCCCAAAGGUACACAAGUCGAUGAAGGUUUGGAAGAUUCUCAAGCUCCUGAAUAUUUGGAAGACUACAAUAGUGGGUGUAGUGACUAUGUAAUAUGCUUGUUUAAUUUGUGAAACCUGGACACUUGCUCCGCUCAUUUUGCUGGUUGUUAAGCCACUCUGCUCAUUUUGGUUGUCACACAUUUUAAAACAUAUAUGUACUCUACCUUUUAAGGUACAACCUCUUUAUAUAUAUAUAUUAUGGUCGUUAUGUUUAAUUUAUGGAAUAAUGUUUUAAGGUUCUGUUGAUUGAGGUGUAUGGAUGAGAC
rnacentral:lncRNA from 1 species